AGUGCCCUUGCCUCCCAAUUGCCAGCAAGCUUCAAGAAAACACAAGCUAGGCUCUCUGGCUGUGUAGUCUUCCUGGAGAAUGUUGCCCUUAGAGAGUGUUUAUCUUUGGAGAGAAAAUCAACUCCCACAGAUCAGGACCAAGUUGUAGGACUUUAGGGCAGUUCUUAUGAGACUGAGGCUCUCAGUAAGCACAUAAGAUAUCAAACUCUUCAGACAACAAUUUGAUAAAAACAACAGUUGAGUUUAGGGCAUUGAAUUUUAAUAAUGGGAUGUUAAUCAUUUAUUUUGUAUCCAGCACAUAAAAUUCCCAGAUGUCAACUCCAGUGCCAAAAAUGGACAUGUGGAGAACAGCAGGCAUAUUCUACAUCUCUAUCUUCACAUUUCAUCAGAUAAUUAAGGAAACAUCAAAGACCAAGAAACUGCAAUGAAGCUGUCCACCUGCCUCCCAUUUAUAUUGAAUGCUGAAGAGUAACCGGAUGGAUAAACUAAUGCGAAACUAUCUGCUGGAUACAGUUAAUGGCCAACAUUUACUGGAUAUUUACCAUGUCGGGAAUUGGGAAUAAUGUUCAAUCUUUUAUGUCUGUCUCAUUCAUUUAUUCAAAUUCCAAGCUACCAGAUGUAAUCCUCA
rnacentral:lncRNA from 1 species